CCUACGGGUGGCAGCAGUGGGGAAUAUUGGACAAUGGGGGAAACCCUGAUCCAGCAACGCCGCGUGAGUGAAGAAGUAUCUCGGUUUGUAAACCUCUAUCGACAGGGAAGAGGAAAUGACAGUACCUGACGAAGAAGCCCCGGCUAACUACGUGCCAGCAGCCGCGGUAAUACGUAGGUGGCAAGCGUUGUCCGGAAUUACUGGGUGUAAAGGGCGCGUAGCCGGGCUGGUAAGUCAGAUGUGAAAUCCGGGGGCCCAACCCCCGAACUGCAUUUGAAACUAUGGGACUGGAGUGUCGGAGAGGCAGGCGGAAUUCCUAGUGUAGCGGUGAAAUGCGUAGAUAUUAGGAGGAACACCAGUGGCGAAGGCGGCUUACUGGACUGUAACUGACGUUGAGGCUCGAAAGCGUGGGGAGCAAACAGGAUUAGAUACCCGAGUAGUC
rnacentral:rRNA from 1 species